CAGGCCUAAACAUGCAAGUCGAGGGGUAAGUCCCGAUUCGUUGGGAACACGACCGGCGACGGGUGAGUAACGCGUAUGUAACUUACCUCUAACCAGGGGAUAGCCCGAGAAAUUCGGAUUAAUACCCUAUAAUAUCAUAGGAUCGCAUGUUCUUAUAUUAAAGUUCCGACGGUUAGAGAUAGGCAUGCGUACCAUUAGCUUGUUGUGAGGUAACUGCUCACCAAGGCAACGAUGGUUAGGGGGUCUGAGAGGAUGUCCCCCACACUGGUACUGAGACACGGACCAGACUCCUACGGGAGGCAGAGUGAGGAAUAUUGGGCAAUGGACGAAAGUCUGACCCAGCCAUGCCGCGGCAGGAUGACGGCCCUACGGGUUGUAAACUGCUUUUGUACAGGAAGAACAUCCCGAUGUAUCGGGAUUUGACUGUACUGUACGAAUAAGCAUCGGCUACUCCGUGCCAGCAGCCGCGGUAAU
rnacentral:rRNA from 1 species